AGUGAACGCUGGCGGUAGGCCUAACACAUGCAAGUCGAACGGCAGCACAGUAAGAGCUUGCUCUUACGGGUGGCGAGUGGCGGACGGGUGAGGAAUACAUCGGAAUCUACUUUUUCGUGGGGGAUAACGUAGGGAAACUUACGCUAAUACCGCAUACGACCUACGGGUGAAAGCAGGGGAUCUUCGGACCUUGCGCGAUUGAAUGAGCCGAUGUCGGAUUAGCUAGUUGGCGGGGUAAAGGCCCACCAAGGCGACGAUCCGUAGCUGGUCUGAGAGGAUGAUCAGCCACACUGGAACUGAGACACGGUCCAGACUCCUACGGGAGGCAGCAGUGGGGAAUAUUGGACAAUGGGCGCAAGCCUGAUCCAGCCAUACCGCGUGAGUGAAGAAGGCCUUUGGGUUGUAAAGCCCUUUUGUUGGGAAAGAAAAGCAGCAGGUUAAUACCCCGCUGUUCUGACGGUACCCAAAGAAUAAGCACCGGCUAACUUCGUG
rnacentral:rRNA from 1 species